GACAGAGGCCCCGAGCGUUAGGCGGAAUCACUGGGCUUAAAGCGUGUGUAGGCGGAUCGUUAAGUGUCUUGUGAAAUCCCACGGCUCACCCGUGGAACUGCUGGGCAUACUGGCGAUCUUGGGCCGUUCAGGGACGACUGGAACAAGCGGUGGAGCGGUGAAAUGCGUAGAUAUCGCUUGGAACGCCGAAGGUGAAAACAGGUCGCUGGGGACGCGCCGACGCUGAGACACGAAAGCCAGGGGAGCAAACGGG
rnacentral:rRNA from 1 species